rnacentral:rRNA from 14 species
CCAGCAGCCGCGGUAAUACGGAGGAUGCAAGCGUUAUCCGGAAUCAUUGGGUUUAAAGGGUCCGUAGGUGGAUCGGUCAGUCAGAGGUGAAAUCCUGCAGCUCAACUGUAGAACUGCCUUUGAUACUGCCGGUCUUGAAUUACUGUGAAGUGGUUAGAAUAUGUAGUGUAGCGGUGAAAUGCAUAGAUAUUACAUAGAAUACCGAUUGCGAAGGCAGAUCACUAACAGUAUAUUGACACUGAUGGACGAAAGCGUGGGGAGCGAACGGGAUUAGAUACCCCGGUAGUCCACGCCGUAAACGAUGGUCACUAGCUGUUCGGACUUCGGUCUGAGUGGCUAAGCGAAAGUGAUAAGUGACCCACCUGGGGAGUACGUUCGCAAGAAUGAAACUCAAAGGAAUUGACGGGGGC